CAGCAGUGGGGAUAUUGCACAAUGGGCGCAAGCCUGAUGCAGCCAUGCCGCGUGUGUGAAGAAGGCUUUCGGGUUGUAAAGCACUUUCAGCGAGGAGGAAAGGUUGUACUUUAAUAGAGUGCAGCUGUGACGUUACUCGCAGAAGAAGCACCGGCUAACUCCGUGCCAGCAGCCGCGGUAAUACGGAGGGUGCGAGCGUUAAUCGGAAUUACUGGGCGUAAAGCGCGCGUAGGCGGUUAAUUAAGUCAGAUGUGAAAUCCCAGGGCUCAACCUUGGAACUGCAUUUGAAACUGGUUAACUAGAGUUUUGUAGAGGGUGGUAGAAUUUCAGGUGUAGCGGUGAAAUGCGUAGAGAUCUGAAGGAAUACCAGUGGCGAAGGCGGCCACCUGGACAAAGACUGACGCUGAGGCGCGAAGGCGUGGGGAGCAAACGGGAUUAGAUACCCCGGUAGUCCACGCAGUAAACGAUGUCUAUUAGAAUUUUGUGGCUAUAUGCCGUGGGAUUCAAAGCUAACGCAUUAAAUAGACCGCCUGGGGAGUACGGCCGCAAGGUUAAAACUCAAAUGAAUUGACGGGGCCCCC
rnacentral:rRNA from 1 species